ensembl:lncRNA
GGCGUUUCUCAUCAUCUGUACGUUUGUGGGGGUUGUGAUGGCGUACACGGUACAGAAGGAGCAUUACUUCAUGGACACGGUGGAGUUAAAAGGCCUGCAGUACAAAGCUGACCUCAAGGAUAAAAUGUCUGCAUUUUUUUUAAUCCUUACAGCCACUUUGGAAACAAAGAUGCAGAAUAUUUUCCUUGCAUCGUCGAUUGUACCCCAUUUUGUCUCCUGCCGUAUCGUUGCGUACGGGAACAUCAGUAAUAACGUGAUGGCGACACUUUAUCUGGUGUUCAGAGUGGCCAAAUUUCAAGAACAAUUUACAGAGUACACAGACCGUUUCCUCCAGGAGCAGAUUCAGUACGGCUUUCAGGCUUUAGUCAGUCCGAACCCGCUGACCGUUCCUGAGUUUGGAGAAAUUCAGAGCAUUGUCCUUCUUGAUGUCCUGAUGCCACAUUCAC